GUAUCAAUGAUGAGUAUAAUUGACCUCAUUGAAAAUUCUGAAUAAAAUGAGUUAUGCAGUUGCAUCUUUCAAACUGAGGUCC